CCUACGGGUGGCAGCAGUGAGGAAUAUUGGGCAAUGGGCGCAAGCCUGACCCAGCAACGCCGCGUGAAGGAAGAAGGCUUUCGGGUUGUAAACUUCUUUUCUCAGGGACGAAGAAAGUGACGGUACCUGAGGAAUAAGCCACGGCUAACUACGGGCCAGCAGCCGCGGUAAGACGGAGGUGGCAAGCGUUAUCAGGAUUUACGGGGUGUAAGGGGCGUGUAGGCGGGACUGAAAGUAAGAUGUGAAAACCAGGGGCGAAAGCUUUGACCUGGCUUUGAGACUGGAGUGCGUGAGUGCGGGAGCGGCAGACGGAAUGUGUGGUGUAGCGGUGAAAUGCAUAGAUAUCA
rnacentral:rRNA from 1 species